GUGUCAGCAGCCGCGGUAAUACAGAGGUGGCAAGCGUUGUUCGGAAUUACUGGGCGUAAAGGGCGCGUAGGCGGCUUGGUCAGUCCCGUGUGAAAUCCCUCGGCUCAACUGAGGAACUGCACGGGAAACUGCCUGGCUUGAGUUCGGGAGAGGGAAGCGGAAUUCCGGGUGUAGCGGUGAAAUGCGUAGAUAUCCGGAGGAACACCGGUGGCGAAGGCGGCUUCCUGGACCGACACUGACGCUGAGGCGCGAAAGCUAGGGGAGCAAACGGGAUUAGAAACCCCCGUAGUCC
rnacentral:rRNA from 1 species